GCCUACGGGACGCAGCAGUGGGGAAUAUUGCACAAUGGGGGAAACCCUGAUGCAGCAACGCCGCGUGAAGGAAGACGGUUUUCGGAUUGUAAACUUCUGUUCUUAGUGAAGAAGAAUGACGGUAGCUAAGGAGCAAGCCACGGCUAACUACGUGCCAGCAGCCGCGGUAAUACGUAGGUGGCAAGCGUUGUCCGGAAUUACUGGGUGUAAAGGGAGCGUAGGUGGCAUGGUAAGCCAGAAGUGAAAACCCGGGGCUCAACCCCGCGGAUUGCUUUUGGAACUAUCAGGCUGGAGUGCUGGAGGGG
rnacentral:rRNA from 1 species